rnacentral:rRNA from 1 species
AUUGAACGCUGGCGGCACGCCUAACACAUGCAAGUCGAGCGGCAGCGAGACUAGUAGCAAUACUAGUUGUCGGCGAGCGGCGGACGGGUGAGUAACACGUAGGAAUCUGCCCUUAAGCGGGGGAUAACCAAGGGAAACUUUGGCUAAUACCGCAUAAUCUCGAGAGAGCAAAGCUGCCCGCAAGGGUGGCACUUGAGGAGGAGCCUGCGUCCGAUUAGCUAGUUGGUGGGGUAAUGGCCUACCAAGGCGAUGAUCGGUAACUGGUCUGAGAGGACGACCAGUCACACUGGGACUGAGACGCGGCCCAGACUCCUACGGGAGGCAGCAGUGGGGAAUAUUGGACAAUGGGGGCAACCCUGAUCCAGCGAUGCCGCGUGAGUGAAGAAGGCCUUCGGGUCGUAAGGCUCUUUAGGUUGGGAAGAAGUGUAUUGGCUGAAUAAUCCAGUACAUUGACGGUACCGACAGAAUAAGCACCGGCAAACUCUGUGCCAGCAGCCGCAGUAAUAC